rnacentral:lncRNA from 1 species
CGGGUAAACAGGAAAGAGUACAAGUUAGCUAGGAAGGAGGCUAAGUUAGCAGUUACGGCGGCUAAGACGGAAGCUUUUGAGAGCUUGUAUGCGGGUUACAGGAGAAAGGAGAGGAAAAAAAGUUGUUUAGACUCGCUAAGGCUAGGGAGAGGAAGGGUCGUGACCUCGACUACGUGAAGUGCAUUAAGGGGGAGGACGGUAGAGUGUUGGUGGAGGACGGCCACAUUAAGAAUAGAUGGCAGUCGUAUUUUCAUAGGCUCUUGAAUGACGAAGGGGAUAGAGCUAUUGUGUUAGGGGAGUUGGAGCACUCAGAGGAGUGUCGGGAUUUUAGUUAUUGUAGAUGUUAU